AUUGAACGCUGGCGGUAUGCCUUACACAUGCAAGUCGAACGGCAGCACGGGAGCAAUCCUGGUGGCGAGUGGCGAACGGGUGAGUAAAGUAUCGGAACGUGCCCAGUCGUGGGGGAUAACGUAGCGAAAGUUACGCUAAUACCGCAUACGAUCUAUGGAUGAAAGCGGGGGAUCGCAAGACCUCGCGCGAUUGGAGCGGCCGAUAUCAGAUUAGGUAGUUGGUGGGGUAAAGGCUCACCAAGCCGACGAUCUGUAGCUGGUCUGAGAGGACAACCAGCCACACUGGGACUGAGACACGGCCCAGACUCCUACGGGAGGCAGCAGUGGGGAAUUUUGGACAAUGGGCGAAAGCCUGAUCCAGCCAUGCCGCGUGCAGGAUGAAGGCCUUCGGGUUGUAAACUGCUUUUGUACGGAACGAAAAGGUUUGGCCUAAUAAGCUGAGCUCAUGACGGUACCGUAAGAAUAAGCACCGGCUAACUACGUGCCAGCAGCCGCGGUAA
rnacentral:rRNA from 1 species